rnacentral:tRNA from 2 species
CAAAAGAUAGUUUAAAGAAAAUUUUAAUUUUGGAAAUUAAAGAUAUAAAGUUAUUUAUUUUUUUGA